rnacentral:rRNA from 1 species
CAGCAGCCGCGGUAAUACGUAGGGUGCAAGCGUUAAUCGGAAUUACUGGGCGUAAAGCGUGCGCAGGCGGUUUGUUAAGACAGAUGUGAAAUCCCCGGGCUCAACCUGGGAACUGCAUUUGUGACUGGCAAGCUAGAGUGUGGCAGAGGGGGGUGGAAUUCCGCGUGUAGCAGUGAAAUGCGUAGAUAUGCGGAGGAACACCGAUGGCGAAGGCAGCCCCCUGGGCCAACACUGACGCUCAUGCACGAAAGUGUGGGGAGCAAACAGGAUUAGAUACCCGCGUAGUCCCUGUCUCUUAUAC